UGUCAUUCUAAUAUGUCAACAAAAAAUGUCAACCGAUAGCUUUCCAGACUCAUGGAAAACUGAAAAAUUUCGAAAAAGCGUGGAAUAUAAAUUAAUUAAUGAACUGAAAUGCUUUAAAUUAACUUGGAAAGAUGCAGGCAAAGAUAUUGAACAAGCAAUCUUUGAACAUUCCACAAAUAAGCUGCAGUAUCUGGGAUAUGUGGGCAAGAUUAUCAUACUUUUGAAAAAUAGAGUGGUCGUCAAAGAUGAGUGGUUAGAAAACCGCGUGACGGAAAUUUUGAAAAAACCGCCGCCAAGAUUACGUAAAGUACUUAGUCCCAAUGAAAUGGCCAAAUACAAUAUUGAAAUGAUGAAAAUCAGAUCUAAAAUACAACAAGAAUCUAUAUUAAAAAUAAAACCAUCAACCAGCACCAGCAAUAUUUCAAAAUAAAUUAGCUUCAAUUAUUAACAAUUAUUUUUAUGAGAUUGUAAAAAAUAUAAUAUAUGACUUGGAACUAUAA